CUGCCGCCGCUCCUCCAUUCCCCUCCUCCUGUGUGCUGCCCUCUCAUCCAUCCCGAGUCGACCCCGCCUCCGGUCGCGGCCCACUCUCCUACAAGCGGCGACGACAUCCUCGCCGGUCAGCCACGCCCAGCGCCUUCCUCCUCCCUUCUCUCUCCCUCUCCUCACUAAUCUCUCUCCCUGUCUCCGUUGGACCUUCCCUCAUGACUGCCGGCCUUCCUCCUGACUAGAUCAACGACAGCGACGACCGGAUCUCCCACGCUGCCAUGGCUAAGACACACCGCGCGUUCGCCCCACCUCCCAGCAAACGCCGCCGCCCCUUCCCUUUCGAUCCACCUCGAGUCAACCUGUCGCCACCACGCACGCAAACCACGGCGGGGGACGCGAGAGGAGGAGUUGCGGCUUCCUCUAGGCACACACGUGCCGUUGCAUUUGGCCUCUCCUGGAGCGUCGGUCGCCGUCGCCGCCUGCCGCUCGGCUUCUGCCCCACGGGCGCCACGUCCAGGAACUCCCCUCCGCCACUGCCGGGUGGGUCAAAAUCACUGCUAUCGCCGUGUCCCGGCCCAUUCCGUUCAUGCUCUGACGUGAUCCUGAUGCGCCUGCACAAAUCCUUUUCUGUACAGAGUAAUGGCCAUCGGAUUUGGAUUUUGGGAGCUUUCAAUCGUGGAUGCUUGUUUCCGUAUGGAGUAAUGACAUUUUUUAACUGACGGAUUGAUCCAUGUAAUUAGGUUUCUAGCUCAAUCUUUCCAUAUAGUUGCAUCGACUUAUACUGAAUUCUUUAGUGUCACUGUAUAUAAUAUAAGUAUUCAUGUACUGUUCGAAUGUCCGGUCAAUGUCUGGUCUAUGUACAACCCUCUAAAAUUCUUUUAUAUCUAGACAUGUCUGAAACAUCAUUUGUCAAGACACACUGUUAGUUAAUCAAUUUAGUCUGAAACAUCAUUUGUCAGAACACAAUGGCUUGCGGGUGUUAAGAUGUUAAAACAAAAUUAUUUGCACAUGCAUGCUUGUUUGUAAGUUGUAACCAUAGUACCAUACUGAAACGGAGCAACAACAUUAUGCUUAGGACAUGAAACAUGGACAACCCAUUUUUAGUGGCAAUACUUUGCGUAAUCAACCAACAUAGGAUCACUCUGCACCAAGCAGAUGGUAGUUCCGGUCUUCUAGCUGAGGAGGAUACACCAAGAGAAUCAACCAAGCAGAAUUAAGCACCAUAAUUUUCUAUGUACACACUUUGCUGUAAAAGAGCAAAAAUCUUUGGUGUUAAUACUGACAAAUAGAGCAGCCUAUCAUGAAAAUGAGACAUCUUUACUGUCAAGUUUAUAGUCAUCAAGUGGUCCUACAUUUCCUGAUUGUUUGUGUGUUCCCGCUUGAUUUAUGUACCACAAUAGAUAAUCUGAUUCUGAUUUAUCCGAGGAUUUGUUCCAGUUCAACUCAGCAUUUUACCAACAUCAGAUCUCUCUGUAGUCCUUUGAUCACAGUUUUAUUUGCUUUUAUGCAUCAGGUCUAUCAUUUAGCAUUUCUCAUUCAUUGCCCCUUUCAACUUAUAAGCAUUGAAUUCAUGAUUGCAGGAUUGUCUCCUGGUGCAAUAGUCGUUCAAGCACAUGCAGUUUUUGGGAGUGAAGUCAAAGAAUAGCUUGGUACUUCUGUGGUUGAGAUUUCAACAGAGGGAUGCUGGUGCAGUAACCAUAUCUAUGUGCAAGGAAUUCUGCUUCUUGCAGCUGUAGGACCAUGAGAUGUCGAUGCUACACGAUAGGACACACCAAGGUCCCAGCCAAGUCAGUGAUGUUGCCCCGACUCCCUGUUUCUUCAGCUUGAGGAAGCCCUGUGGCAGCCUGACUCUCUUCUGCCUAUUGUCGUCCUAUCUGACCUGCUACUAGGCAACUACUACUACUCACGUUUGAUAGAUGCUAUCUUGCGUACGACUGAGCAGUCUCGGCUAUACUUCAACCCAGACAUCAACGAAGCAAAUAGCUUGAUAUAUGGUUCAGGGAGCUUCGACGCUUGCUCCGACCAAAGAAGUCUUUCAAGCUAGAUUUUCUUUCCAUAUGAUACCUAGAACUGGCAUUGGCUGAGUUUGCGGUUAAAAAAAAGAGCCAGCAAGGAGAUGGAGUUUGCGAAGCACACGUUCGACCAUGACAACCCCAAGCAUGUGUCCCCAUACCUGAUGACGAGGCGACCAGGUGAAUACCACUCAUGAGAUGUGUGAGAUCUAGUGAAGAGGAUAAGUAGAAGCAUAGAACACAUAUUUGUCAUUAGGGAACGCGAGGAUGUUGUUGCAACAUCCGGGCACAUUUACUUAAAAAUAAAUAGAUUUCAAAAGACAUGUGUUAUAUUUGAGAGACGUGCGUUGCACGUGCACGCUUACUAGUGAUGACAGAUGGAUGAGAGGCCUUAACAGGAUGGACGGAGCUGCUGAAUUGGAGGAAUUCCUAUGCUUAUGGACGAAGGUGCAGGCAGUUAAACAGGACAUCCUCGACAACAUGAAUGAGGACUUGAUUGAAUGGACUCUCACCACAAACAAUGUUUACUCAGCCAAAUCGGCUUAUGACAUCCAGUUCAAGACAAGAAUCCCAAGCCCGGCCCUGGCUAAUGUUUGGAAGAUCAAAGCUGAAGGCAAAGUAAAAAUUUUCAUGUGGACGCUCUUGCAGAAUCGGCUAUGGACUGCUGACCGGCUCCUUCGUAGAAACUGGGAUCAUCAUGAUAGCUGCUGCAACUGUGACCAGGUUAUUGAAUCAGCUAUACACCUCAUUCUCAGAUGUCCCUACGCAAAAGAAGUCUGGCACUCCUUCAGCUCCACCAACCAGCUUGUCGCUAGAUAUGCUCGUGAGGCCAGCUCCAUUGUGGGAUGGUGGGAGAAAGUGUUCUCCCAUCAUCGGAAGAAGGUAGAAGCUUUCCAAAUUUGCACCACUUCGGUUUACAUUGCCUGGAAUAUUUGGAACGAGAGAAAUCGUCGUCUCUUUCAACAUGAGAGCCUGCCUGUUCAACGGCUUUGUAACAUUAUUUCUGAUGAAAUCUGCCUCCUUAAGGAGGCAUGGGAGUAGUGCUUGUAGUCAGUUUUGGCUGAGCUGAGACCUUCUCAGCCUCUAGCCUUCCUUUUUUCCUUUUCCUCUUUGCUUUCUUUGGGUUUUUUACCCCUGUACAGUAUUUCCCAAUACCUAUAAUGAAAAGGCAGAGCACCUGCCAUUCCGCUCAAAAA